rnacentral:rRNA from 1 species
GACGAACGCUGGCGGCGUGCUUAACACAUGCAAGUCGAACGGAAAGGCCCUGCUUUUGUGGGGUGCUCGAGUGGCGAACGGGUGAGUAACACGUGAGUAACCUGCCCUUGACUUUGGGAUAACUUCAGGAAACUGGGGCUAAUACCGGAUAGGAGCUCCUGCUGCAUGGUGGGGGUUGGAAAGUUUCGGCGGUUGGGGAUGGACUCGCGGCUUAUCAGCUUGUUGGUGGGGUAGUGGCUUACCAAGGCUUUGACGGGUAGCCGGCCUGAGAGGGUGACCGGCCACAUUGGGACUGAGAUACGGCCCAGACUCCUACGGGAGGCAGCAGUGGGGAAUAUUGCACAAUGGGCGGAAGCCUGAUGCAGCAACGCCGCGUGCGGGAUGACGCCCUUCGGGUUGUAAACCGCUUUCGCCUGUGACGAAGCGUGAGUGACGGUAAUGGGUAAAGAAGCACCGGCUAACUACGUG